UAUUUCCAGCAUCAGGGUGCAUGCCUCUUCCCAGCACAAAGAAGGGGGUCUGCAGGCGCUCUGGGCCGUGUUGGUGGGAGAAGCAAACAAGCCUGGAAGGACGGGCGCACGGUUGACAGCUGCGAGGCCUGGGGGCGCUCUGGGUGCAGCAAACGCAGAUUACGGCACCACCGAGAGCGGGAGGCCGCCCGCGUCCUAGAGAGGCCUCCGAACCUCUAGGUUUUCCCUUGCCGGCUGCUCUAGGACCCACCUCGGCCAGACCCGGGGGCCGCUGAUAUUUACUUCCGGCUCCGCGGCGCGCGGCCCGGCUUCCGGUGGGAGGGGCUCUGCCGGCUAGAGGGGAGGGGAGCCUGCGGGGAGGGGGCGGCUGGAGCCGCGCAGAGGCCUGAUUGGGGCCUCGCGGGCGCGCCCUUCCGCUCCGAAAGUCGCGUCCAGGCGGGCCACCGCCCCCUCCUCCAGGCAGGCCGCCCCCCCCUACCCUCCGGGAAGACCUUUCCCCCCACUUCUCCAGGCCAUCUCCCCCACCCCUACCGGUCGGCCCCUCCGCCCUGCUCCAGGCCAUCUUCCCCCCUCCUCCAGGCAGGCCAUCCCCUCCUCCUCCAGGCGAGCUGCUGUCCCCCUGCUCUAGGCAGGCCAUCCUCUCCUCCUCCAGGCAGGCCGCCCCCCUACCCUCCAGGCAGGCCACCACCCCGUCCUCCGGGCGGGCCGCUCCCCCGCUGCUCCAGGCAGGCCACCCCCUCAUCCUCCAGGCGGGCCUCCGUCCGCCCCCCCCCCCCCCCCGCUCCAGGCAGGCCACCCCCUCCAGUGGGGCUCCCGAGUGCAUCGGUUGUGUCGCACGGAAGACGCGUGAACCCGAGACCUUCCUGUUUCCCCCGUGUCGAGGCCCGGAGUUACUUGGAAUUACUGAUCAUCUGUCUUCUGAGCUCCCAGCCUGUGGGGCUGUGACGUCACGGACGUGGGGGGAGGGGGAGGGCCUGGGCCCGGGUCCCCUCGACCCUCCCCACACGGUCCCCGUCGCGGAAGAGAACUGCCCGCCUCCAGCACACCCUGCAGGAACGCGGACGCGGGUGUGGCCACAGGCUGGCCGACCCCGGACCAAAGCCGUCUGCACCCGGAGGGGCCCCAGCGCUGACCUCCCCCCUCUCCCCUCAUUGUAACAGCCAAUGUCACACCCGGGGUGGAGAUCACAGCCAGGGCCCCCGCCUCCGCGCGCUCGCUCUUCACCCCUCUCCCGCCCACCUGGCCUGGGGUGAGCCCACCGUCCGUCCCGCCGCCUCCGGAAUGCGGGGCAGCAGCCCCAACUCAGCCGAGCCCGACGCUCCUGGUGGGCAGCGCGGGUCAGCUCCUGCUGCGGGGCGAGCCUAGGGCCCUGCUGGGCAGCAGGAGCGCGUCAGAACCUGAGGGUGUACCUGUGCUGUUGUUGCGUAGACGGGGAGCUCAGCCCCUACACGGAGGUAGGCGUGCAGAGGGUCAGUCCCAAAGCGCAGGUGAGCAAAUCCCUGGGGGGUCACAGAGGGAGGGCAGCUAGUUCACCGGGGGCAGGAACAGCAAGAAUCUCAGUGUGGGGAGUUCCAGCGUGUGGUCCCUCGUCUCUGACAAGCUUUCUUUGCUUAGGACAGCUCCUCUGGAAAUGUUUUUGGUAGCAUGCAAGUAAUUUUAGCAUUUAUUUUCUAACUAUUUCCGCGGUGUUUCCUGAGUUAGCAUGUAUCUGGCUGGCAUCGAGCUCGUCCCGUUCGGAGCGUUUCCUGCUUCCUCGCAGCUGGAAAGAACCUCGAGGGAAAUCUCUCAAGGAGAGUGUAACGGGCCCUGUGUGGGGGUGUCUCAGUGCAGCAGAGCAUGAAAUGAAGCCAAGCGCGGCUGGCGCUUUGACCCCAAGUUCCAGAGGAGCCCGUGGGGCUUGUGACCCUGAAGGUGAAGGAUGAACAUGUGUGGAAACGAGAAUCCAGCAUCGGAAGGAAGGAACCUCAUUCAGGCAGUUUUGCUACCAAGAGGCGCCUGGGCCCCGGGAGGCGCUGCGCCGGCUCCGCGAGCUGAGCCGCCAGUGGCUGAGCCCAGAAACACACACACACACGAAGGAGCAGAUCCUGGGGCUGCUGGUGCUGGAGCAGUUCCUGACCAUCCUGCCCGAGGAGCUCUAGGCCUGGGUGCGGGGACAGCACCCGGAGAGCGGAGAGGAGGCGGUGACUGUACUGUAAGGUCUGGAGCGGGAGCUGGACUGCAUGAGGCCGGCCAACAGGUGGGGGAAAAUGCAGUUGUACAGAGGAAGAAUUUUUCCACCCAAAAAGGCUACCUCUGGUCCCUUUGGAAAACACUGAAGUAAAGAACGGGGCGUCUUUCCAACGCAGGGAGACAAAGUGCUUUUAAUGCCACAUAGUGGGACGGAUCCGUUAGAGACGGACACAACACACACCACGAGGCUGACGUGGCUCCGAUGCCGUGGCGGCCGUGUAAGUAAACCCGAGUGUAAGCCCGUCGGUGCCUCCUCACUUUGCUGCUGCUCUGCUCCGCGGCCCUGCUCAGCUGCUGGGGGCCUUCCUGGCUGCUUCCGGCCUCGCGCCGCCUGAGUCAAUCCAGUUGUGCUUCAGUAAAGUCUUAAAAUGUUUAAUGUGCCUCCAUUUGUCUGUUGUCCGUCGCGAAGAGAAGAUCCCAUGUGUUCUGCACCUGAAAUGCAGACCCGUUGUGUCCGCAGAGAGAUCACGGCUUGUAAUAAGUGUGGAAGUCACAGCCUCGGUGCUGGUUGUUGUCCAUCGUGGGAGCGUUGUCAGUCAGCCGUCACUGACGUUGGUUUUCUCUUCAGGGAAACUCAAGCUGAAAUGAAUGUACUGAGGCAGCUUUUCACUUGUUUUCCAGGCAAAGCCGCCUCCUUGUUUCACGCCCGCAUUUUCAGACGGCACAACUCCUGGUGUUAGACUUCGGCUGCACGAGCCCCCCGCAGCGGUGAAACUAAAGAUGGUCUGGAUACACUCCAAACUCAUACACCACACGCAGCUUUGCUUAGAGCCCAUCGUCCUGUCACCCCUGUGAGCCUUUCCUGGGGUCCCCUACGGCCAGGCCCCGUGCUCCGCUGGCCUGGGGACACAGAAGCAUGUGGACACGGACAAAUGGGGGAGGGUGAGUCUCUUCGCUCUGCCUGCUGGCGUGUGGGGACCGUGUGCAAGUCCUCCGGGAGACCGCUGCAGAAAUAGCCCUCCUGCACUCCCCACCUGUUGUGCGUGUCUGUACACGAGGGUGCAAGAUGCCGCUGUCAGUCACAUACACCCUGACCCGCAAGCCCCUUCUGCACCCUCCGGUGUCCCCCAUAGCACCCUGUGGAUGUUACCGUCAUAAGUUCCCUGGGCUCUGUUCCUCUGUAGGUUAACGUCCUUGAAGAAGGAAUCAUGUCUUUCAUUCAUCUGCAAAUUCUCAGCGCUGAGCCUAUGACCCAGAAAAUGGUACCGAUACACGUUCACGUUUCCUGCCCUGCGUCUAACUGGUCCUGAGGUUUACUCUCUCCUGGUGCUUGGAUCUGUCUCCUCCCCACACCGUCCCCCCACCCCGGCAGGGGGGGUCACAAGAUCCCUGUUUAGCUCCAAUUUCAAUGUUGAUUCCUCUCAGCUCCCGUACCUCAUUGUCCCCAGCUCAUUGGCACACUGAGCUGUCGUCCCCUUAGACACCUGUUCUAAAUCUUUGGAAAUUUAUUCUAACCUGCUUGUUUGAAAUACGACCCUUCCAGCUUAACUAUAAUUUCAUUCAGUACAAACUUAUUACAAAUAAAACUUCCCCUCCCACAGCAAAGCUCAGUCUAGUUCACUCAGGGUAGACUCAGUGUUGUCUAAGUAGCAAAAUGCAGUUACGUGUAAUAUUUUAUUUACAAUACUCCGUGUGGACAUUGGAAAGGCAAAUAUUGGACAGUACUUGAAGUCAUCUUAUAUGAUGAAAAUCUCCAAAAGGGCAGAAGGCUGGGCCCUUAGUUUUUACCCCAAGUGACCUUUGUUUCAAAUGCUUUUUGUUCUGUGUAAUCUGAGCCUACUUUGCAACCAGUUAUUUUGAAUAGGAUUUGAUAUGUUUUAGUUAAAUAUAAAGCUGUUGGUCGGAAGUACACCUUUUUUUAUUAUAAUCAUUAACAUCUAAAGUAUCAAAGCAAAAGAAAAAGCAUUUUAAAUAUCAGAACUAGAAAGCACGUGACCAAGAAUAAAAACCCUUAAACU